UUAAUACCCAAUGACGUCUCUAGAAGGCAUCUGAAAGAGAUUAAAGAUUUAUCGGUGAUGGAUGGGGAUGCGUCUGACUAGCUUGUUGGCGGGGUAACGGCCCACCAAGGCAACGAUCAGUAGGGGUUCUGAGAGGAAGGUCCCCCACAUUGGAACUGAGACACGGUCCAAACUCCUACGGGAGGCAGCAGUGAGGAAUAUUGGUCAAUGGACGAGAGUCUGAACCAGCCAAGUAGCGUGCAGGAAGACGGCCCUAUGGGUUGUAAACUGCUUUUAUAAGGGAAUAAAGUUAGUCUCGUGAGACUUUUUGCAUGUACCUUAUGAAUAAGGACCGGCUAAUUCCGUGCCAGCAGCCGCGGUAAUACGGAAGGUCCGGGCGUUAUCCGGAUUUAUUGGGUUUAAAGGGAGCGUAGGCCGGAGAUUAAGCGUGUUGUGAAAUGUAGACGCUCAACGUCUGCACUGCAGCGCGAACUGGUUUCCUUGAGUACGCACAAAGUGGGCGGAAUUCGUGGUGUAGCGGUGAAAUGCUUAGAUAUCACGAAGAACUCCGAUUGCGAAGGCAGCUCACUGGAGCGCAACUGACGCUGAAGCUCGAAAGUGCGGGUAUCGAACAGGAUUAGAUACCCUGGUAGUCCGCACGGUAAAC
rnacentral:rRNA from 1 species